rnacentral:tRNA from 1 species
GCGGGCGUAGUUCAAUGGUAGAACUUCAGCCUUCCAAGCUGAAAGUGUGGGUUCGAUCCCCAUCGCCCGCU